CUCUCCCCUUCCUGUCUGCGGGGAGGUGAGCAGCCCUUGCUGAACCUCACAAGCUGUUGCUGCCGUGCUACACCAGUGCAGCCGAAGGGUGUGGGCUGAACCUUGUGGGACUAUGUGCCCAGGGAACUCCUCCUGCCUUUAAGGCAUUUCUGUCAGGUGUCUGUUCGCAGUAACGGAUGUAACCACCAUCGGGCACUGUGUCCUCUGUGCCCGUGGGUAAGAAGGUAUCUGCCAGCAGCACUUGAUAUCUGGCAAGGGACAUACAUACCUGUGUCAGCUGUCCAGGGUUGUGACAAAGGUACAAGGCUCUGCCAAUGCUGAAGAUGAAGAGGAUGCUGAAGAUGAAGAGGAUGCUGAAGAUGAAGAGCGAACUGCAGAAAUGGCUGCAGACUGCUAAGCUGUAGUUCCUCGCUCUCCUGUUCAUCUGUGCACGUAGGCUGUCAGCGACAGGGGACUGGUGGCAGCUGAAGAAACACGUUCUGACAAAUGUUCAUCGGGGAGAGCAAAGCAAAAUGGUCAGGGCGGUGGAGAGAAGCGGCCAUGUGGAGCGGGAAGCAAGGACGUGAACUGGUGAAGCGGCUGCCCUUCCUCAAGCUCUGCCGUCAGCUUGAUACCUGAGAAAAUAAAUGGAGGAAAUCUUA